AGUGAACGCUGGCGGCAGGCCUAACACAUGCAAGUCGAGCAGCAGCGGGUCCUUCGGGAUGCCGGCGAGCGGCGGACGGGUGAGGAAUACAUCGGAAUCUGCCCUGUCGUGGGGGAUAACCUAGGGAAACUUAGGCUAAUACCGCAUACGACCUACGGGUGAAAGCGGGGGAUCGCAAGACCUCGCGCGACAGGAUGAGCCGAUGUCCGAUUAGCUAGUUGGCGGGGUAAAGGCCCACCAAGGCGACGAUCGGUAGCUGGUCUGAGAGGAUGAUCAGCCACACUGGGACUGAGACACGGCCCAGACUCCUACGGGAGGCAGCAGUGGGGAAUAUUGGACAAUGGGCGCAAGCCUGAUCCAGCCAUGCCGCGUGGGUGAAGAAGGCCUUCGGGUUGUAAAGCCCUUUUGUCCGGGAAGAAAUCGUCUGGGCUAAUACCCCGGGCGGAUGACGGUACCGGAAGAAUAAGCACCGGCUAACUUCGUG
rnacentral:rRNA from 1 species